rnacentral:lncRNA from 1 species
AUCCACUUCAUUUAUGCUUUCUUCCGAUUCCUCCAAAAACAUUGGCUCUGGUUGGUCUUUGGGUGCCUUGUUAAAUUCCUCCACAUCAAUGAAUAUACAAUCUCCAAAUUCAUUUGUGUCUGACACCGAUGUUUUUGGCUUCUUAGGUUCAUGCACUGCCUCGGGGCAAUGUUGUUGGUUGCAUGCAAUUUGGGCAGCAAACUUUCUGAUGAAGGGCAAAUUACAGGAUUUCAUUAUAAAUGCGGGUCAUUUGAUUUCACACCUCAAAGGAGGGUUUUGUUUCAUUUCUCUUUCUUAAAGGAAGCAGCAGAUCCAAGUUUCAAAAUUCAAAUUUCUUCAACCAAAACAUAUAAAAAGGCAGAGAGAAAAUUAAAGGGCCAAAAUUAAACCUUGUAAUGGGUCGAUGCACUGGAUCAAGCUCAUCCUAUUAGCUCUACAAUUUUCGCCGCUUUCUUCUGGCAUAGAGGGAUACAUGGAAAUGAAUUGCUAAGUACUAGAUAAUUUUUAUGAGUUUUUUUUUUUCCUCAAGUAAACAAAAGGCACUAACGCACCAAUUGUUCUUAAUAAUCGAUCUAAUAAUUAAUCAUAACCAGGGUUAGCACUAAAAUAAAUCAGAUGAAGAAUCAAUCAAUAUUAAGAGCAAGUUUGAACUCGUCAAGGCUCCCUUAAAACUUUAAAACUUUAGUGAAUCCAUGACACCAAAAAGUUGCCCUAGUCACAUUUGAAUUGAAAUACACAAUAUCUAGUUAUCUACACUGAAAAUUCAAAAUUAAAGCAAAUGCAGGCAGAUAUUUACCUCCAUUUUCCUAUAAUACGAAAACAAAUCUUCGACAUAUUCAACAACUGCUAGUGGAUUCUUUGCAUCCCAGCUAUCAAUAUCCACAAUCGGUUCUUCCACUAUGUCCUCCAUUUCAAUCUCCUCCUGGCAAAUUUUAGCAUUUGAAUUAUGAGUUUGCCAAAGUAGUCAGCACAUUGCAAAUAAUUAGAUUUCUUCAGGAGAAAGAGUGACAGAUACCAUUUGAUCCACUUCAUUUAUGCUUUCUUCCGAUUCCUCCAAAAACAUUGGCUCUGGUUGGUCUUUGGGUGCCUUGUUAAAUUCCUCCACAUCAAUGAAUAUACAAUCUCCAAAUUCAUUUGUGUCUGACACCGAUGUUUUUGGCUUCUUAGGUUCAUGCACUGCCUCGGGGCAAUGUUGUUGGUUGCAUGCAAUUUGGGCAGCAAACUUU